GUGGUAGAAAGUAUUUAGAUGGAAAGGCUUAAAAGUUGAAGCUUUGAUAUUUUUCUCCGUUCAACCAAAUACCAAUUAAAUGACACCAUUUAACCAAAUACAGAAGCAGAAAAACUUCAUAGCGAAACACCCUAAAAUUGAAAUCAAGAUACAAUCGUAUAUCAGCAAAAGAGAGUUCAUUCUUUCCUUGUUUCAGUUUGACUCUUC
rnacentral:misc_RNA from 1 species